rnacentral:lncRNA from 1 species
GAGUUAUGUUGAGUUGACUUAAGAAUUCUGUUUGAUUUGAAUUAUAGUAGGAUAUGGUAGAUGAACAGGAUUUACUAGUAGCUUAUGAACCACGACAUAAGAUGCUAGCAAAACUCUGCUCAUCUGUUGCACCCUUGCUCGAUUUAGAGAGUGGGGUGUGAUAUUUAGUGAUAUUAGAGUAAAAGUAGUAGAUUGCAUGGGCAUAUGCAUAGCAUAAUUAUUUUUAAUUUUGUUGCCUGGCU